rnacentral:tRNA from 1 species
GCCGAUGUAACUCAGUGGCAGAGUGGUUCUCUCAUCAAGAACAGGUCGUAGGUUCGAGUCCUACCAUCGGUA